ACGCUGGCCACUAUCUCUGAGUUAUAACCGAGAACGGUAGCACAGAGAGCUUGCUCUCGGGUGACGAGUGGCGGACGGGUGAGUAAUGUCUGGGAAACUGCCUGAUGGAGGGGGAUAACUACUGGAAACGGUAGCUAAUACCGCAUAACGUCGCAAGACCAAAGAGGGGGACCUUCGGGCCUCUUGCCAUCAGAUGUGCCCAGAUGGGAUUAGCUAGUAGGUGGGGUAACGGCUCACCUAGGCGACGAUCCCUAGCUGGUCUGAGAGGAUGACCAGCCACACUGGAACUGAGACACGGUCCAGACUCCUACGGGAGGCAGCAGUGGGGAAUAUUGCACAAUGGGCGCAAGCCUGAUGCAGCCAUGCCGCGUGUAUGAAGAAGGCCUUCGGGUUGUAAAGUACUUUCAGCAAAGAGGAAGGUGAUAAGGUUAAUAACCUUANCAAUUGACGUUACCCGCAGAAGAAGCACCGGCUAACUCCGUGCCAGCAGCCGCGGUAAUACGGAGGGUGCAAGCGUUAAUCGGAAUUACUGGGCGUAAAGCGCACGCAGGCGGUCUGUCAAGUCGGAUGUGAAAUCCCCGGGCUCAACCUGGGAACUGCAUUCGAAACUGGCAGGCUGGAGUCUUGUAGAGGGGGGUAGAAUUCCAGGUGUAGCGGUGAAAUGCGUAGAGAUCUGGAGGAAUACCGGUGGCGAAGGCGGCCCCCUGGACAAAGACUGACGCUCAGGUGCGAAAGCGUCCCUUACAAACAGGAUUAGAUACCCUGGUAGUCCACGCUGUAAACGAUGUCGACUUGGAGGUUGUUCCCUUGAGGAGUGGCUUCCGGAGCUAACGCGUUAAGUCGACCGCCUGGGGAGUACGGCCGCAAGGUUAAAACUCAAAUGAAUUGACGGGGGCCCGCACAAGCGGUGGAGCAUGUGGUUUAAUUCGAUGCAACGCGAAGAACCUUACCUACUCUUGACAUCCAGAGAACUUAGCAGAGAUGCUUUGGUGCCUUCUUUCACUCUGAGACAGGUGCUGCAUGGCUGUCGUCAGCUCGUGUUGUGAAAUGUUGGGUUAAGUCCCGCAACGAGCGCAACCCUUAUCCUUUGUUGCCAGCGAUUCGGUCGGGAACUCAAAGGAGACUGCCAGUGAUAAACUGGAGGAAGGUGGGGAUGACGUCAAGUCAUCAUGGCCCUUACGAGUAGGGCUACACACGUGCUACAAUGGCAUAUACAAAGAGAAGCGACCUCGCGAGAGCAAGCGGACCUCAUAAAGUAUGUCGUAGUCCGGAUUGGAGUCUGCAACUCGACUCCAUGAAGUCGGAAUCGCUAGUAAUCGUGGAUCAGAAUGCCACGGUGAAUACGUUCCCGGGCCUUGUACACACCGCCCGUCACACCAUGGGAGUGGGUUGCAAAAGAAGUAGGUAGCUUAACCUUCGGGAGGGCGCUUACCACUUUGUG
rnacentral:rRNA from 1 species